rnacentral:lncRNA from 10 species
UGGGAGGCUCACGUCCCCACCCUCGGGCUUUCCAAGGUGCCGCGCCAGGGGUUGCUGAGGUAGAGGUGGCUCCCCUGCUCCUCCUUCCACCUCUCCGAUUCCACCUCCUCCUCGCACCCCGCUGGGAACUCCUCCAGGGGCUGAGAUUGGAUUCACCGAGCCUGCGGAGAGUGGGGAACUGCGGGCAGGUCGGCGGAGUUAGAUGGCAGCAAAGGUGGGCCGGCUUGGUGUGAUAAAGUUCCAACUGGGUCCUUCCGCGAGCCCUGGGUCCAUAAGAUGUCAUCGGCGAGCGCUGGACUUGACCGUCAACUUGGGAUUGUUAAGGUAAAUGGUGUCUCCUUCUGUCGCCAAGGCGGUGGCAUGGUCUCGGCUGGCUGCAAUCUCCACCUCCUUGCUUCCAGCGAUUCUCCUGCCUCAGCCCCCCGAGUAGCAGAAAUUACAGGAGUUUCAUGGCAGGGCGCUUGGCU